ensembl:lncRNA
GAGUCUUUGAAAAGUUUCUGGAUUUAAUACAACCAAUAAAAUACCAGUUCUAGACAAGAUCUUCUGGAAGACUUUACUAUCUCCAGGGAAUCCCUCUUCCAUGUGGAUUCUACAUGAGGGACAUCCUCCAUGAGAAUGACAAAUGUCUGGUCUUCUAUACAAGAGAUGCUGAGAAUGAUAGUCCUGGAUGCAGAGGAUACUAGGACUUCAUUUCUAUUGGAGUGGUACUUAGCCCCAGCUAUAUACCAGGCACCUCCCAUCCCCAGUAGACCAUGCCUCCAGGAUCCUGUAAUAAUUAAAAUGGGCUUGACAAGUAUAAGAAUUAAAAAAUUGUGGUUGCCAUUUAUAAUAAUUAAAUAUUAAGUCAUGAGACUGUGAGUAGUUUUUUUUUUUAUAACAAAAUAAUGGUAGUAAGAGAGGGAAAUAUAAGAAGGAGGUAGAAAAUAUUGCCUAGCUAAAAAUACCCUAAGUCCAGGUCCAAGUGCCUCCAGACCUCAAAUGAGAAUCUGAAUGCAAAUCUCACCAGCCGGGGAGAGUGUCCCCAGUCAGACAUUUCAGCAGAAGAGGUUGAGUCACAAAGGGCAGUUUCUCAUGCCAAGGAGGCAAGAAUCUCACCAAAGUAAAGCAUCCCUCUUCAGCUUGGGUCUCCAAGGAAUCUUCACCAGAAUCCAAAGUCCAAACCAGGAAGCCGAAAUUUGAAGCCGAGAUGCCACAAGACUGCAAGGAAUCUCACUAGAGCUCAAGCCCUCAAGGCAAAAGACCACAAAAGAAGUCCCAGGGUCCCAGAGGCUCUGGCUUAUACAGUUUUCUCCACCCAUCAGCUCUCCUCCUCACAUCUCAGGAAUCAAUCACAGUUUCCCAAUUUGCUUAGCACUGACUUGGAAGGAUCAGUGCUUGUGGUUUUUUAGGGUAUGAAUUUUCUUUUCUAGUAAAAUGUUCUUACUAACUAAGUGUUAAUGACUAACUAAGUGUGAAAGGUUAGGCACUCCAGGUUUUUGAUUCAUUAACUUAAAAUAGACAAAGAGAAUUUAAAUUCUCUUUCACAAUCCCUAGAAGUGAGAAAAUGUCUGUUGUCUGAAAUUUGGAAAUUUCCUCCUUCUCCUCAUCACGUUUUAUCCACUUUUCCACCUCUCCAUUUUUUAUUUGUCAUGCUUUAUUGCCUGCAUAUCAACAGUGUAGGACCUUGGAAUAAAUCAGACAGAAUGGCUUUGCCUUCUCA